AGAUUGAGGUCAAGAGUUAGAGACCAGCCUGGCCAACGUGGUGAAACCCUCUCUACUAAAAAUACAAAAAUUGAUUUGGCUGAUCUGGCUGGCUAAACCGGUGUCCCCUUACUCCCUCAAUGCUCCAAGUGUGUCCCUCCCGACCCUCCCGAAGCUGUGCAGUGUGUCGAAGAGGACAACCAUCACCAAUAGAGGACCGGUCUUCCUUUAAGGGUAUAUGUGUAGCUGGGUUUCCAUUAAAACCUCCAAUCUCUCAAAAAUGCAAAUUAUCAGUACUCAUCCCAAACUUAGGAAAUUAGAAAACCUGGCAGGGAGCCAGCAAUGCUUU
rnacentral:lncRNA from 1 species